rnacentral:tRNA from 1 species
UCCCUUGUGGCUCAGCUGGUAAAGAAUCUGCCUGCAAUGCAGGAGACCUGGGUUCAAUCCCUGGUUUGGAAA